UACGUAGGCGGAAGAUUAAGCCAGUGGUGAAAUCCUGCAGCUUAACUGUAGAACUGUCAUUGAUACUGAUUUUCUUGAAUAUAGUUGAGGUAGGCGGAAUGUGUAAUGUAGCGGUGAAAUGCUUAGAUAUUACACAGAACACCGAUUGCGAAGGCAGCUUACUAAGCUAUGAUUGACGCUGAGGUACGAAAGCGUGGGGAGCGAACAGGAUUAGAUACCCUGGUAGUCC
rnacentral:rRNA from 1 species